rnacentral:lncRNA from 1 species
ACACAGCUGGGAUGUGGCAGAGCUGGGGUUCCAGCUCCUGUUCCCAUUGCUGGACAGCUGCCACAUCUGGCACCCAAUUUAGGACCCCGCGGGGAGGCCCAAGCCCCGGGGGUGGCGGGGGAUCCUAGAGGAAAGUGGCAAGGCCAGGACCCUGGAGCAGAGCCAGUGGAAUGUCACCAUCGCCCAGGUGGGGAUUUUUGUGUGUUUUGUUCACUGCUGUACACCCAGCCCCCAGCACAGCGCCUGUCCAGGACAAGUGCCCAGUAAACACUUGGGAAGCAAUGCAAGCGUCCUCCCAGCAGCUCCUGCAAACAGACCCCCGACCCAAGCCCUUCCUUCUGCCUCCACUGCCACCACUGCUGCUCAUCUCUGCUGGCACAGAAGUCUCUUCCCUGGUCUUCCAGAAAUCCCCUCUCCACACUCAGCCAGAGGGAGCUAUUAAAACUGUGGGCCAGCCCACAUCAGUCCACAGCAAAGUCCUCUCUAAGGGAUCUCUGUUGCUUGGAGAAUAAACCCUCGGAUUCCUUCCUUGGCUCUCGG